AACUGCGAUAAGUAAUGUGAAUUGCAGAAUUCAGUGAAUCAUCGAGUCUUUGAACGCACAUUGCGCCCCCUGGCAUUCCGGGGGGCAUGCCUGUCCGAGCGUCAUUGCUGCCCUUCAAGCCCGGCUUGUGUGUUGGGUCGUCGUCCCCUCCGGGGGACGGGCCCGAAAGGCAGCGGCGGCACCGCGUCCGGUCCUCGAGCGUGUGGGGCUUUGUCACCCGCUCGAUAAGGACCGGCCGGGCGCCAGCCGGCGUCUCCAACCUUUUUUUAUCAGGUUGACCUCGGAUCAGGUAGGGAUACCCGCUGAACUUAAGC
rnacentral:misc_RNA from 1 species